UCGAGAAUCUUCCGCAAUGGACGAAAGUCUGACGGAGCGACGCCGCGUGCGGGAUGAAGGCCCUUGGGUUGUAAACCGCUGUCAGAGGGGAUGAAAUCUUCGGAGGUACUCCUCCGAAGUUGACAGAGCCUCAAAGGAAGCACGGGCUAAGUACGUGCCAGCAGCCGCGGUAACACGUACUGUGCGAACGUUAUUCGGAAUCACUGGGCUUAAAGGGUGCGUAGGCGGCGAUUCAAGUCAGAUGUGAAAUGCCUGAGCUCAACUGAGGCAUUGCGUUUGAAACUGAUUCGCUGGAGUAUUUCAGGGGUGUGCGGAACUGCCAGUGGAGCGGUGAAAUGUGUUGAUAUUGGCAGGAACACCGGAGGCGAAAGCGGCACACUGGGGAAUAACUGACGCUGAGGCACGAAAGCCAGGGGAGCGAACGGGAUCAGAUACCCUAGUAGUCCCUGAGCGGGCUGGCAAGGCGCAU
rnacentral:rRNA from 1 species